ensembl:snoRNA
AAACAUUUUCAAAAAUAUUUUUUAAAUUGUGUUGAUAGCCAGCCAAGGGGGACAGUGUAUGCAAGAGUGAUGUGGAGUUCUUGUCAGCUCUAACCAGCUGAAUCAGUGGCUGGAUGAAUCGUAGGGCUCCAACAGUC